rnacentral:rRNA from 1 species
AGUGAACGCUGGCGGCGUGCCUAAUACAUGCAAGUCGAACGGAGAUUCAGUAGCUUGCUAUUUAAUCUUAGUGGCGCACGGGUGAGUAAUAUAUAGCUAACUUGCCCAUUACUAAGGGACAACAGUUGGAAACGACUGCUAAUACCUUAUACUCCGUAUCUAUAUAAGUAGAUACGGGAAAGUUUUUCGGUAAUGGAUAGGGCUAUAUCGUAUCAGCUAGUUGGUAAGGUAAUGGCUUACCAAGGCUAUGACGCGUAACUGGUCUGAGAGGAUGAUCAGUCACACUGGAACUGAGACACGGUCCAGACUCCUACGGGAGGGAGCAGUAGGGAAUAUUGCUCAAUGGGGGAAACCCUGAAGCAGCAACGCCGCGUGGAGGAUGACACUUUUCGGAGCGUAAACUCCUUUUCUUGGGAAAGAAUUAUGACGGUACCCAAGGAAGAAGCACCGGCUAACUCCGUG